CAGCCGCCGCGGUAAUACGUAGGGUGCGAGCGUUAAUCGGAAUUACUGGGCGUAAAGCGUGCGCAGGCGGUUUUGUAAGACAGGCGUGAAAUCCCCGGGCUCAACCUGGGAACGGCGCUUGUGACUGCAAAGCUAGAGUGCGGCAGAGGGGGAUGGAAUUCCGCGUGUAGCAGUGAAAUGCGUAGAUAUGCGGAGGAACACCGAUGGCGAAGGCGACUCUCUGGUCUGCAACUGACGCUGAGGAGCGAAAGCGUGGGGAGCGAACAGGAUUAGAUACCCGCGUAGUCCCUGUCUCUUAUAC
rnacentral:rRNA from 1 species